UAAAUGCUAUUAUUAUAGAUUAAACAAUCAUUGCCUCUGGAAUUUGUGAAAUUGAGCUAGCACAAUUUCACUACAUUUCCCAAAAUUCCGCGCUGCGUCCCAAACUCCUACAGGAGAACGAAACGGAAACAUGCGACGUUACAGUAAGACCUGUAAUUUGUGUGAGGAACGGGACAGAAACCGCUCUACAGUCUCCUCCCACAGCAGCUAGACACGGACUUCCAACAUAGGCAGGGUCAUGGGGUGGGUGUGUGUGCCCCCGGGGUGCGGCAGCAGCGUCUGCAAGUGAUCCAGGACAAGAUGGCGUCUUGGGCAGAGCUCAUGUCAAUCCACAUCGCUUCUCAGCCAGCCGACCCCUGUCCCGCAGAGAGAUGGAGGUCGAGAAGGCCCUGUUCCAUGGUAACGACCACCCGGGCUUCCUCACUGCACUCUAUCACCAAGGUGGGAUGAUGUUAUACAAUGCUAAGUGUCUGGUCGUUCACACUGCAACUCCCAUAGACCAAGAGGUUAGAAAGCCUGAAGGAGUUAGAACGAAAAAUAGUUUUGGAGGAGUUUGAACAAGUCCUAUGUGUGUUGGAAGUGUCUUUGAAAUUCCUUGAGAAGACACAAUAGGAGUUGGGUGCUGGGCUUGAACCGGGAAAUAUAAUGACAAUAUUUUCUUAUCUGGGAUGUUUUAUUUUUAAUGACCUUGGCAUCACUGUGGUUUUUUUUGUGUGUAUUUUGUGUAUAUGUUGAAUAUUUGUGUGGUUGGUGACUGUCAUGUAUUGAAAAUAUAAAGUAAAAUGUUUAAAAGAAAUAAAGGAAUUCAGCUGUC